GGAAAAAACGAAUAAACGUGGUUAGAGAAUGUAAUAUUUAAUAGGCACAGCUGCCGCAAUAGUAGCACCCGUAACGUGGUGGCAUUCCAGUAAAACAAACGUAGUUUGGUCUUUACGGUGUGAAGUUGACACUUUAACUACUGGUGCGCACGAGCCUGCGAGGUCACUGGCGCGUGGGUGUGAGGGAUCCCACGCUGCCAUUUGACACAAACAGAAUGUUAUGAAGAGCCACCGCGAGCGUUCUCACCUACACAAUAACUACGUGCACCCAUAUGGCUGAAAGAUAUUUGAUCUAAUGUAAUGCUGAUGUAAUAAUCAUGAGCAAUGUAUUCAAACACAAUACUUUGGUUAGUUUACGCACAGGUCAAGAAAUAGUUCAACCCUAAGGAUGUGACAUUGUGGCCAAACUGCGGUGUCGAUUUUCCCAAUAGCGGCCUUGUGGUGGCGCUAAAGCACAUUUGCACCGCUAUCUCUUCCUCGUGGAAGUAUCCUUCAAUGCUCCUGUUCAACAGGUGCCCUCAAAAUGAGCCAACUAAUCCUGCAUUGCUGUUUUACACGCAGACAAUAAAUGAUGUUUAAUCUGCUUUUUGGGAGGCAGAUGCUCCUCAAUGAAAGGCUAAUCUCAUUCUUCCCAUUGAUGCUCCUUCCUGCGGGAGGUUUAAUCUGGAAUUGAAAGAAAAUCCUGGCCAUGCGAUCAACCCAGCGGGACUAACACCUCCAUUCAGAGAGGCAGGCUGCAAGGAAAUUGUGCUUUUCAACAGCUGCCCUCCAUUCCCGUCGAAUGCUAGAAGUCGUGCACACAUUCUACAAUCAUUUCUGCAAGGUUGUUGGCACUCUUUUGUUUUCUGAUGGCCAGUGUUGAAAACCCAUUAAGGUGCACAUUCAGAUGCUGAUUUCACCUAACUUUCAUCUUUCUAACAGCCAGCCGCCCCAUCCAGGUUCUUUCAAGUCCUUAAAAUCGAUCGUCUUUGAAAAGGUUUUCAAAAUUUGCCUUAAAAGUAUAGUCCACUACAAUAAGCUAUAUACUAUUUGGUUAUCCGAGGGAUUUCCAAACAGUUCAAAAUCAUUGACUAAAGAUGAAAAACAAAAACAAGAAUAUAUUUAAAUGAUAUAUAAAAUAUACAUGAAACGCAAAUAAUCAAUACUAUAUAUUAAGUAAAUACAAGAUGAAAUGACAAAGAAAUACAAAGAAAACUUUUGCUUUUUGUUUAAAGCCACAGUUGUAUCUCUUUAACACACUGACAUCAGUACUGUAUUGGGCAGCAUAUGCUACAAGCAUGGGUAUUUGAU